CGCCGAUUCGAAUGCACGUCAGUCAACUGUCACCAACCGUCUUCUGAAGAAAUCAUUUUGAUCGUCGGUCGGACAGCAAACUACCUGUUGGCAGGUUGACGUAAGAAAAUGGGCAAAACAUGGGUCCUAGUGGAAUGAAGGGAGGAGCCACCGACCUGACAUUGUUCCUAAAAAGAACAUACUGAAAAAUAACUUUGACCCUGGAGAUGUUGUGGAUGUUGCCGAUGAGAAUGAAAGUUUACCAGCCACAGUUUUAGACUGUUUCUAAGAGAACAAAGAAACUCUCAGGAGGAGGAUAUUCAGGAGAGGGGAAUUUACAGACACAGCACAGAAGAAAUUUCCAGAUGUACCAAUAAAAGUUAUCAGGGCAGCACUCGGAAAAAUUAAGAGCACAAGUUACGAGUAAGGGAAAUGGAGUAAAUGCAGCCUGCUGUGAAUUGGAUUCUGCUUUGGUC